GCAUUGGUGGUUUAGUGGUAGAAUCCUCGCCUUACAUAUGAGAGAGCUGAAUUCAAUUCCUGGCCAAUGCA
rnacentral:tRNA from 1 species